rnacentral:rRNA from 1 species
CAUGCAGUCGAACGGCAGCACGGGAGCUUGCUCCUGGUGGCGAGUGGCGAACGGGUGAGUAAUAUAUCGGAACGUACCCUAGAGUGGGGGAUAACGCAGCGAAAGUUGCGCUAAUACCGCAUACGAUCUACGGAUGAAAGUGGGGGAUCGCAAGACCUCAUGCUCAUGGAGCGGCCGAUAUCUGAUUAGCUAGUUGGUAGGGUAAAAGCCUACCAAGGCUUCGAUCAGUAGCUGGUCUGAGAGGACGACCAGCCACACUGGAACUGAGACACGGUCCAGACUCCUACGGGAGGCAGCAGUGGGGAAUUUUGGACAAUGGGCGCAAGCCUGAUCCAGCAAUGCCGCGUGAGUGAAGAAGGCCUUCGGGUUGUAAAGCUCUUUUGUCAGGGAAGAAACGGUGGACUCUAAUACAGAUCACUAAUGACGGUACCUGAAGAAUAAGCACCGGCUAACUACGUGCCAGCAGCCGCGGUAAUACGUAGGGUGCAAGCGUUAAUCGGAAUUACUGGGCGUAAAGCGUGCGCAGGCGGUUUGGUAAGACAGAUGUGAAAUCCCUGGGCUCAACCUAGGAAUUGCAUUUGUGACUGCCCGACUAGAGUGUGUCAGAGGGGGGUAGAAUUCCACGUGUAGCAGUGAAAUGCGUAGAGAUGUGGAGGAAUACCGAUGGCGAAGGCAGCCCCCUGGGAUAACACUGACGCUCAUGCACGAAAGCGUGGGGAGCAAACAGGAUUAGAUACCCUGGUAGUCCACGCCCUAAACGAUGUCUACUAGUUGUUGGGUCUUAAUUGACUUAGUAACGCAGCUAACGCGUGAAGUAGAC